rnacentral:lncRNA from 1 species
AGAAAAUGAGACCCAGAAGACCCAAAUCACAAAUCAAAAGGACCUCACAGAAGAUUCUACAAUUGAGAUUAUUUAUCCUGGGAUGCCCACUGGAUCCAAAGAGAGAAACUCUAUAGAAUUAUGAUCUAGGUUUGACUGACUCCUGGCAAGAAGCCCUACCCGCCAGCCAAUUUGGAUGAGGUCACAGGGGUCAUCCAUCUUUCCUUCUAUGUGACUGGUUUGCUCUUGCAUAUCAUGUUUUCCGCUCUUAUGCUCCAGAUCCAUCAUGAGAAGAACAUGCCCUGGAUUCCUGCUAUCCCUUUAGCCAUGGCUCCAAAAUUAACACACACAAGGAAGACCUGAGGUCAAUCCACAGCCUGGAUUCAAGUCACCUAAUACAUAGGAGAAUCAGAGCUACCCAGCCACACUCAAUCUACGUUAACUGAACCUCAGCUGACCUGCAGAUUUAUGAGUAUGAGA